rfam:Candidatus Levybacteria bacterium RIFCSPHIGHO2_01_FTLL_37_17 rifcsphigho2_01_scaffold_39, whole genome shotgun sequence.
GGCCCUGUAGCUCAACGGAUAGAGCGAGUGCGUUCUAAGCACCAGGUUGGGGGUUCGAUUCCCUCCAGGGUCG